rnacentral:rRNA from 1 species
GACGAACGCUGGCGGCGUGCUUAACACAUGCAAGUCGAACGAGAAUCUGCGGAAAGAGGAUUCGUCCAAUUGAAGCAGAGGACAGUGGCGGACGGGUGAGUAACGCGUGAGGAACCUGCCUUUCAGAGGGGGACAACAGUUGGAAACGACUGCUAAUACCGCAUGACACAUAGGAGUCGCAUGGCACUUAUGUCAAAGAUUUAUCGCUGAAAGAUGGCCUCGCGUCUGAUUAGCUAGUUGGUGAGGUAACGGCCCACCAAGGCGACGAUCAGUAGCCGGACUGAGAGGUUGAACGGCCACAUUGGGACUGAGAUACGGCCCAGACUCCUACGGGAGGCAGCAGUGGGGAAUAUUGGGCAAUGGGCGCAAGCCUGACCCAGCAACGCCGCGUGAAGGAAGAAGGCUUUCGGGUUGUAAACUUCUUUUGUCAGGGACGAGUAGAAGACGGUACCUGACGAAUAAGCCACGGCUAACUACGUGCCAGCAGCCGCGGUAAUACGUAGGUGGCAAGCGUUAUCCGGAAUCAUUGGGCGUAAAGGGUGCGUAGGUGGCACGAUAAGUCUGAAGUAAAAGGCAACAGCUCAACUGUUGUAUGCUUUGGAAACUGUCGAGCUAGAGUGCAGAAGAGGGCGAUGGAAUUCCAUGUGUAGCGGUAAAAUGCGUAGAUAUAUGGAGGAACACCAGUGGCGAAGGCGGUCGCCUGGUCUGUAACUGACACUGAUGCACGAAAGCGUGGGGAGCAAAUAGGAUUAGAUACCCUAGUAGUCCACGCCGUAAACGAUGAGAACUAAGUGUUGGAGAGAUUCAGUGCUGCAGUUAACGCAAUAAGUUCUCCGCCUGGGGAGUAUGCACGCAAGUGUGAAACUCAAAGGAAUUGACGGGGGCCCGCACAAGCGGUGGAGUAUGUGGUUUAAUUCGAAGCAACGCGAAGAACCUUACCAGGCCUCGACAUGGAUAUAAAUGUUCUAGAGAUAGAAAGAUAGCUAUAUAUCACACAGGUGGUGCAUGGUUGUCGUCAGCUCGUGUCGUGAGAUGUUGGGUUAAGUCCCGCAACGAGCGCAACCUUUGUCUUCUGUUACCAGCACUAGGUUGGGGACUCAGGAGAGACUGCCGGUGACAAACCGGAGGAAGGUGGGGAGGACGUCAAAUCAUCAUGCCCCCUAUGGCCUGGGCUACACACGUACUACAAUGGCGCCUACAAAGAGCAGCGACACCGCGAGGUGGAGCGAAUCUCAUAAAGGGCGUCUCAGUUCGGAUUGAAGUCUGCAACUCGACUUCAUGAAGUCGGAAUCGCUAGUAAUCGCAGAUCAGCAUGCUGCGGUGAAUAAAAUCUCGGGCCUUGCACU